rnacentral:lncRNA from 1 species
CUAAAAAUCAACAGUCAGGUUCAGGCCAAUUGACAGAUACUGGGAUCAUGCUGAAAUCUUAAGGACUCUGAAAAGUUCAAGAUCUUAAACUUCCUCCAGCUCAGAAAAACAAACACCAGCAGUGGCAGACCACACUCAAGGAUUACACAGAGAUAGACAAGGCCUUGAGAGGAGCAGGAAAAGUCAAAUAGACCAUCUGUUAUGCUGGCAGGAUUAGGGUAUUCUUUCCUCUUUAUUAUUAGAAUUUUGUUAUAACAUUUUCAGGCCAUCAAUUUAAAAAUAUGUCCUUUAAAACUUUUUUUUUUUUUUGAGACAGGGUCUCACUCUGCCACCCAGGCUGGAGUGCAGGAGCGUGAUCUUGGCUCAUUGUAGCCUCAACUUCCCAAGCUCAGUUGAUUCUCCCACUUCAGCCCCCCAAGUAGCUGGGACCAUAGGCAUGUACUGCCACAUCCAGCUAAUUUUUUGCAAUUUUUUAGUAGAGACAGGUUUUCCCUAUAUUGCCUAGGCUGGUCUCGAAUUCCUGGGCUCAAGUAAUCCACCUGCCUCAGCCUCCCAAAGCACUGGGAUUACAGGUGUGAGCCACUGCACCCAGCCUUAAAAACAAAGGAUAACCGAGUAUAAUGCGUGAGGCUAACUGGCCCAAGACAAAAGCUGCAACAAAUGAUUCAAUGUUUGAAUGUGUUGAUUUAAAAAAGGUCUUGUUAUAGUCAAGAAACCUUAGCUAUUUUCUGGAUUCUGCUACUAUGACUGUGUAUGUGUACCUGUGUGUCUAUUUGUAUGUGUG